rnacentral:rRNA from 1 species
AGAUGGUGAACUAUGCCUGAAUAGGGCGAAGCCAGGGGAAACCCUGGUGGAAGCCCGCAGCGAUUCUGACGUGCAAAUCGAUCGUCAAAUUUGGGUAUAGGGGCGAAAGACUAAUCGAACCGUCUAGUAGCUGGUUCCCUCCGAAGUUUCCCUCAGGAUAGCUGGAGCCCGGUGCAGUUUUAUCAGGUAAAGCGAAUGAUUAGAGGUCUUGGGGUCGAAACGACCUCAACCUAUUCUCAAACUUUAAAUGGGUAAGAUGUCUGGCUUGCUCGACUGAAGUCGGACGCGGAAUGCCGGGGCUCCUAGUGGGCCAUUUUUGGUAAGCAGAACUGGCGAUGUGGGAUGAACCGAAAGCCGGGUUAAGGUGCCCGAAUCGACGCUCAGCA